rnacentral:rRNA from 1 species
UUACCGGCUCUAAUGGACUGAAAGUAUCGUCCAAGGUGCUGCAUGGUUGUCGUCAGCUCGUGCCGUGAGGUGUUGGGUUAAGUCCCGCAACGAGCGCAACCCUAUCCUAGUUGCCAGCGUACGGGACUCUAGGAAACUGCCUGCGCAACAGGAGGAAGGAGGGGAUGACGUCAAAUCAUCAUGGCCUUUAUGCCGGGCUACACACGUGCUACAAUGGGGUACAAGGGGCACAGCAAUGGAUGCAAUCCCAAAACCGUCUCAGUUCGGAUUGGAGUCUGCAACUCGACUCCAUGAAGCCGGAAUCGCUAGUAAUCGUAAUCAGCAUGUACGGUGAAUACGUUCCCGGANCCUGUACACACCGCCCGUCAAGCCAUGGGAGCCGGUGNCCUAA